rnacentral:rRNA from 1 species
AUUGAACGCUGGCGGCAUGCCUUACACAUGCAAGUCGAACGGCAGCGGGGACUUCGGUCCGCCGGCGAGUGGCGAACGGGUGAGUAACGUAUCGGAACGUACCUUUCAGUGGGGGAUAACGUAGCGAAAGUUACGCUAAUACCGCAUAUUCUGUGAGCAGGAAAGCAGGGGAUCGCAAGACCUUGCGCUGAUUGAGCGGCCGAUAUCAGAUUAGCUAGUUGGUGGGGUAAAGGCUCACCAAGGCGACGAUCUGUAGCGGGUCUGAGAGGAUGGUCCGCCAAACUGGAACUGAGACACGGUCCAGACUCCUACGGGAGGCAGCAGUGGGGAAUUUUGGACAAUGGGGGCAACCCUGAUCCAGCCAUGCCGCGUGAGUGAAGAAGGCCUUCGGGUUGUAAAGCUCUUUCGGCCGGGAAGAAAUCGUACGGGUUAAUACCCUGUGCGGAUGACGGUACCGGCAUAAGAAGCACCGGCUAACUACGUGCCAGCCGCCGCGGUAAGAC